AAGGAAGGACAGAAAUCAGUAAGUACUGCUAAUCCUUAUUCACCGCGGUUAAAAUCCACGGCUUCCUUA
rnacentral:tRNA from 3 species